rnacentral:rRNA from 1 species
GUGUCAGCAGCCGCGGUAAAACGUAGGAGACAAGCGUUAUCCGAAUUUACUGGGCGUAAAGCGCGUGCAGGUGGUUGGGUAAGUUGAAUGUGAAAUCUCCUGGCUCAACUGGGAGAGGCCGUUCAAGACUGCCUGACUAGAGGGCGGUAGAGGGAGGUGGAAUUCCCGGUGUAGUGGUGAAAUGCGUAGAUAUCGGGAGGAACACCUGUGGCGAAAGCGGCCUCCUGGACCGUACCUGACGCUCAGACGCGAAAGCUAGGGGAGUGAACGGGAUUAGAAACCCGUGUAGUCC